rnacentral:rRNA from 1 species
GACGAACCGUGCGAACGUUGUUCGGAAUCACUGGGCUUAAAGGGCGCGUAGGCGGGCGAUCAAGUCAGGGGUGAAAGCCCCCAGCUCAACUGGGGAAGUGCCUCUGAUACUGGUAGUCUCGAGGGAGGUAGGGGCGUGCGGAACUUCCGGUGGAGCGGUGAAAUGCGUAGAUAUCGGAAGGAACGUCGGUGGCGAAAGCGGCGUGCUGGACCUCUUCUGACGCUGAGGCGCGAAAGCCAGGGGAGCAAACGGG